rnacentral:tRNA from 1 species
ACUGGUAAGGUCAGCUGGAAAAAGCACGACUCAAAAUCGUGUUCCUUCUGGAGUGUCGGUUCGACCCCGACCACCGGUA